rnacentral:rRNA from 1 species
UAACUCACAAAGUCGAUCCUCGCGGAGAGGAGCGCAUUUGUUCGCCACAAAACCAAGCGCCCUUCUGGGCGUCCAGUGCUGAACCAGAACAACUCAGCUGAUCGCACGGUCUUGCACCGGCGACGUGUCUUUCAAGUGUCUGCCUUAUCAACUUUCGAUGGUAGUGUACCUGACUACCAUGGUUGUGACGGGUAACGGAGGAUAAGGGUUCGACUCCGGAGAAGGGGCCUGAGAAAUGGCCACUACGUCUAAGGAUGGCAGCAGGCGCGCAAAUUACCCACUCUCAACGCGAGGAGGUAGUGACGAGAAAUAACAAGACCGUUCUCAUACGAGGCCGGUUAUUGGAAUGGGUACAAUUUAAACCCUUUAACGAGUAUCUAUGAGAGGGCAAGUCUGGUGCCAGCAGCCGCGGUAAUUCCAGCUCUCAAAAUGCAUAGAAUUAUUGCUGCGGUUAAAAAGCUCGUAGUUGGAUCUGUGCCGGCUGGCCGGUCCGCCCACUGGGUGUGCACUGGUUCGGUUGGCUUUUCCGCCGGAGUGCCUGGCGUUGGCGUGCUCGCAAGGGUGUGCCAGCGCGGGUCCGGCAAGUUUACUUUGAACAAAUCAGAGUGCUUCAAACAGGCGUCUCGCCUGAAUGUUCGUGCAUGGAAUAAUAGAAGAGGAUUUCGGUCCGAUUUUAUUGGUUUUGCUGACCGAGAUAAUGGUUAACAGAGACAAACGGGGCCAUUCGUAUUGCUGCGUGAGAGGUGAAAUUCUUGGACCGUAGCAAGACGGACUACAGCGAAAGCAUUUGGCAAGAAUGUCUUCAUUAAUCAAGAACGAAAGUCAGAGGUUCGAAGGCGAUCAGAUACCGCCCUAGUUCUGACCGUAAACGAUGCCAACUAGCGAUCCGCCGGCGGAUUCAUUCGCCCUGGUGGGGAGCUUCCCGGAAACGAAAGUCUUCCGGUUCCGGGGGAAGUAUGGUUGCAAAGCUGAAACUUAAAGGAAUUGACGGAAGGGCCCACCAGGAGUGAACCUGCGGUUAUUUGACUCACCCGGGGAACUCCCCGGCCCGAACCGUAAGGAUGGC